UGGCUCAGAUUGAACGCUGGCGGCAGGCCUAACACAUGCAAGUCGAGCGGAUGACGGGAGCUUGCUCCUUGAUUCAGCGGCGGACGGGUGAGUAAUGCCUAGGAAUCUGCCUGGUAGUGGGGGACAACGUUUCGAAAGGAACGCUAAUACCGCAUACGUCCUACGGGAGAAAGCAGGGGACCUUCGGGCCUUGCGCUAUCAGAUGAGCCUAGGUCGGAUUAGCUAGUUGGUGGGGUAAUGGCUCACCAAGGCGACGAUCCGUAACUGGUCUGAGAGGAUGAUCAGUCACACUGGAACUGAGACACGGUCCAGACUCCUACGGGAGGCAGCAGUGGGGAAUAUUGGACAAUGGGCGAAAGCCUGAUCCAGCCAUGCCGCGUGUGUGAAGAAGGUCUUCGGAUUGUAAAGCACUUUAAGUUGGGAGGAAGGGCAGUAAGUUAAUACCUUGCUGUUUGACGUUACCGACAGAA
rnacentral:rRNA from 1 species